UACGAAGGGGGCAAGCGUUUUUCGGAAUUACUGGGCGUAAAGGGCGCGUAGGCGGCUUAUCAAGUCAGGCGUGAAAUUCCCGGGCUCAACCUGGGGGCUGCGCUUGAUACUGAUGAGCUUGAAUGCGGGAGAGGAUAGUGGAAUUCCCAGUGUAGAGGUGAAAUUCGUAGAUAUUGGGAAGAACACCGGUGGCGAAGGCGGCUAUCUGGCCCGUAAUUGACGCUGAGGCGCGAAAGCGUGGGGAGCAAACAGG
rnacentral:rRNA from 1 species